GCUCAAAUUUGUAAUCUGGCGUCUUCGACGUCCGAGUUGUAAUCUCGAGAAGUGUUUUCCGUGAUAGACCGCAUACAAGUCUCUUGGAACAGAGCGUCAUAGUGGUGAGAACCCAGUACACGAUGCGGAUGCCUAUUACUUUGUGAUACACUUUCGAAGAGUCGAGUUGUUUGGGAAUGCAGCUCAAAUUGGGUGGUAAAUUCCAUCUAAAGCUAAAUAUUGGCGAGAGACCGAUAGCGAACAAGUACCGUGAGGGAAAGAUGAAAAGCACUUUGGAAAGAGAGUUAACAGUACGUGAAAUUGUUGGAAGGGAAACACAUGCAGUGAUACUUGCUAUUCGGGGCAACUCGAUUGGCAGGCCCGCAUCAGUUUUUCGGGGCGGAAAAUCGUAGAGAGAAGGUAGCAGUUUCGGCUGUGUUAUAGCUCUUUACUGGAUUCGCCCUGGGGGACUGAGGAACGCAGCGUGCUUUUAGCAUGAGCUUCGGCUUAUCCACGCUUAGGAUGCGGGUUUAUGGCUGUAUAUGACCCGUCUU
rnacentral:rRNA from 1 species